GCUGUGGAACUCCUACGGGAGGCAGCAGUGGGGAAUCUUGCGCAAUGGGCGAAAGCCUGACGCAGCCAUGCCGCGUGAAUGAUGAAGGUCUUAGGAUUGUAAAAUUCUUUCACCGGGGACGAUAAUGACGGUACCCGGAGAAGAAGCCCCGGCUAACUUCGUGCCAGCAGCCGCGGUAAUACGAAGGGGGCUAGCGUUGCUCGGAAUUACUGGGCGUAAAGGGAGCGUAGGCGGACAUUUAAGUCAGGGGUGAAAUCCCGGGGCUCAACCUCGGAACUGCCCUUGAUACUGGAUGUCUUGAGUGUGAGAGAGGUAUGUGGAACUCCGAGUGUAGAGGUGAAAUUCGUAGAUAUUCGGAAGAACACCAGUGGCGAAGGCGACAUACUGGCUCAUUACUGACGCUGAGGCUCGAAAGCGUGGGGAGCAAACAGGAUUAGAAACCCCUGUAGUCCUACCACGU
rnacentral:rRNA from 1 species